rnacentral:rRNA from 1 species
AUUGAACGCUGGCGGCAGGCCUAACACAUGCAAGUCGAGCGAGCGUCGGACGGGUGCGUAAUGUGUGGGGAAUGCCCGCGAGGGGGGGGUAACAACUGGGAAAGGUAGCUAAUACAGCGUACUAUCUGCGACCCCAUAUUGGAUUAGCUAGUGGGUGAGGUAAUGUCUCUCCUAGGCGACGCUCCCUAGCUGGUCUGAGAGGAUGAUCAGCCACACUGGAACUGAGACACAGCCCAGUCUCCUACGGAGGCAGCAGUGGGUAAUAUUGCACAAUGGGCGCAAGCCUGAUGCAGCCAUGCCGCGUGUAUGAAGAAGGCCUUAGGGUUUUAAAGUGCUUUCAGUCGGGAGGCGUUACCGACAGAAGAAGCACCGGCUAACUCCGUGCCAGCAGCCGCGGGAAUAC